rnacentral:rRNA from 1 species
CACGUAGGGGGCAAGCGUUGUCCGGAUUUAUUGGGCGUAAAGAGCUCGUAGGCGGCUUAGUAAGUCGGGUGUGAAACCUCCAGGCUCAACCUGGAGACGCCACCCGAUACUGCUGUGGCUAGAGUCCGGUAGGGGAGCGUGGAAUUCCUGGUGUAGCGGUGAAAUGCGCAGAUAUCAGGAAGAACACCCGUGGCUAAGGCGGCUCUCUAGUACGGUACUGACGCUGAGACGCGAAAGCGUGGGGAGCGAACAGG